UACGGAGGGUGCGAGCGUUGUCCGGAAUCACUGGGCGUAAAGGGCGCGUAGGCGGCUCGGUAAGGCUGCGGUGAAAGCCCGGGGCUCAACCCCGGGUCGGCCGUGGCAACUGCUGGGCUCGAGCACUGUAGAGGCAGGUGGAAUUCCGGGUGUAGCGGUGGAAUGCGUAGAGAUCCGGAAGAACACCGGUGGCGAAGGCGGCCUGCUGGGCAGUGACUGUAAUGGUCAAUAGCUGACGCUGAGGCGCGACAGCGUGGGGAGCAAACAGG
rnacentral:rRNA from 1 species